UGUUUUUAUAUGAUAGCAGCACAUUUUUUCAUAUAAUCGUAUUUUAUUAUAUUGUCAGAUUUUCAGUUUUCAACUUUGCCUCCCCCCACUUUCAUUCAUAGAAUGAUGUCUUUUAGAGUCUACGGCCAUGAAAUAUGCUUCUGCGGUCUUUGAACUAUGCUUUUCUAAA
rnacentral:miRNA from 1 species